GGGGGCGGGGGGCGGCCUCGGACUACAAGUCCCGGCACCCCCCAGGCCGAGGAGGUGCCGCUGGGGGCGGGCGGCCCCGGCCACCCCCGCACAAUGGCCUUGGUGGGCCGCCCCCCGCGGCGUGGGACUGGCCAGCCGGAGGGACCCGAAUCGAGUUAGGAAACGCCUGGGAAGGAGGGGGUGGGACAGGACGCUUCCUCCAGGCAGCCAGUGCUUGGGCAGAGGUCCCGAUGGAGUCCCAGUCCUUCCUUGGCCAGUCCUAGAGCCGCUCAUUCCACUGGAAGCUGGAACUGUAGCUGGAAGGGAUCAAAAAAAGAUCGUGUGGUUUAACCUAUUUUACAGACGAGGAAACUGAGGUCCGGACAAGGUAAAUGACUUGUCCAAGAUCACCCAAAUAGUAAGGCAGAGAGAUGGUAUUUGAACCCAAACUUUGUGACUCUGAGGACGAAGACUUCAAUUCCACUUCUGUGAAAGGCGGCUUUGGACUAGAUCCUCCCCGAAGGCAUGGGUUCAUUUAGAUCUGGAGAGGACCUCCCGGGGCAUGGGACGAUACUAUCUCAGAUAAAGAGACUGAGUGACAUCUGAGGUUACAAGUGUUCUUCAGGGAGAACCCGGAGCCGCCAGUUGGAGCCACGGCCUGUGCUUAGAUUUCCGUCACUGAGCCAGCACGUACCUGAACCUGCUGGAAGGCUUGCAGGAGUGUGGCGGUGAUUCAGCAUAUUGGAGUUUUAUUUUUAAACGUCUGUGCGGAUGUGGCGUGUGGCAGGGCUGGCAAGAUGAAGACCGCGGGCAGGGCCCUGCCUGCCGGCGGCUUGCCCUCCACACAUACAAAGAUGGGCAAGUCUCAUUACCUCCUUUAGCAUGACUUCAUGUUAUGAUUCAGUCUCAGACUGACUUUUCAUGGCUCCAUUUGGGAUUUUCUUGGCAAAAACACUGGAGGGUUUCCCGUCUCCUUGGGCUCAUCUUACAGAAGAGAAAAUUGAGGCAAUUAGGAUAAAGUGACUUGCCCAGGGUCACUGGGUUCAAAUGAGGCUACAUUUGAAUUCAGCUCUUGACUCCCGGCCCACUUUUUCCACCGGAAGUAUCCUGGGAUACUUUGAUAAUCCAGCUAAUUAUUGAAUCCAGUCAUUCUGUGGGAAGAAGAGGGGCCCAGAAGAAUCUUGAGGAAAGAAUCUGAAAAGUUAGGUGUUCCUCAAGGUUCCCUCAGUGACUGAGUGGCAAGGUUUGUCUGUGGAGAUGCUUUCAUUGGGAGUGAUGGAAGAUGAUGUGUGGGAGGUCUUGUAGACACUAAAAGGUGGGCUUCAGUCACCGAAAGAAUUCACCAGGGCCCUUGAUCAGGGGAACAGGUUACAAAGGGAAGGGAUACAAUAGACACCAGGAGUGGUAAAUCUAAAAUGGAGCUGAGAGAACAUAGGAAAGACAAGUUCCUCAGUGGAACUUAAUAGAAAAGGAGCACUCCAUGAGGUUGGGACGGGCCCUUAGCUGGCAGGCUAACUCCUGAAACGAAUCUGAAAGAGUUAGUUAGCUGCAAGGAGGAGAAGUGGGGCUGAGAAACAUAGUGGAGUUAGUCCCACGUGGCAAGAUAUCACGGGGGAAGAGGAAGUGGAAAGAUAACACGAAGCAGAGCGCUGUUGCAAAUUGACCCAAAGGAAGGAGCAGCCAUAGGGAUGGCCCCUAACGUAGAUUUUAGAGGAGAAAUUUAACCUCAGGGACAUGACUGGGAUUUCUGAGAGGGCACAGCAAGGUGAGACUGGUUGAGAGCACUCCAGUGUGUGUGUGUGGGUGUUUCUGGGGUUUGAUAUCACUUGGAUUUCUGACUGGACGACUUCUCCAGACAGUAGGAGCUAAACUGAUUUCUAUCAGUGCCUUUUCCCUGAGUGCCUCCUGAUUCAUCUUUAUCAGUUCCUCUGCUAACCGCACCUACCACUGAAGAUCUCACCAGCAGGGCUGGAAGACAUUAUUCACAGGUCCAUUUGAUUUAGAGAGGUGAUUGAGCUCCCACCUUUUACAGAUGAAACUAAAAUCCCCAGAGCUUGUGAUUUGGCUGUGAACAAGGAACAAACUCAGUUCUCCUGACUCCAGGUGCCAGUCCUAUCUACUGCACCAGACAGCCUAUUUCUUCUACCAGCUUUUUCCUAGAUUUUCAACUAUUCCCUUUCCCAGAGGCCAUCAGGGUGAAGUGACUUGCCCAGAGUCACAAAGCUAGUAAGUGUCCGAGAUGGAAUUUGAAAUCCUGACUCCAGGACUGGUGUUCUAUCCAUUGCCCCACAACUAUUUCUAAAAAGGAAUUUGGUAAAGAAUAUAUAGAAUAGAUUUUAAAAAUCAGCUUUUUCUUUCUUAUCCAGUCCUGAUCAGAAAACCCUGGGUGUCUCUUGAUUUGAUUUUUCUUGCACAACCAGAUAACUAUAAAUAUGUAUACAAUAUUGGAUCUAACAUGUAUUUUAACAUAUUUAACAUAUACGGGACUACCUGUCAGAUGGAGGAGGGGGUAGGGGGAAAGAGGGGAAAAUUUGCAACAAAAGGUCAUACAAGGGUCAAUGUUGGAAAAAUGACCCAUGCAUAUGCUUUGUAAAUAAAAAGCUUUAAUAAAAACAAAAAACAAC